AUUGAACGCUGGCGGCAUGCCUUACACAUGCAAGUCGAACGGCAGCACGGGUGCUUGCACCUGGUGGCGAGUGGCGAACGGGUGAGUAAUACAUCGGAACAUGUCCUGUAGUGGGGGAUAGCCCGGCGAAAGCCGGAUUAAUACCGCAUACGAUCUACGGAUGAAAGCGGGGGACCUUCGGGCCUCGCGCCAUAGGGUUGGCCGAUGGCUGAUUAGCUAGUGGGUGGGGUAAGGGCCUACCAAGGCGACGCUCAGUAGCUGGUCUGAGAGGACGACCAGCCACACUGGGACUGAGACACGGCCCAGACUCCUACGGGAGGCAGCAGUGGGGAAUUUUGGACAAUGGGCGAAAGCCUGAUCCAGCAAUGCCGCGUGUGUGAAGAAGGCCUUCGGGUUGUAAAGCACUUUUGUCCGGAAAGAAAUGCUUGGCCCUAAUACGGUCGGGGGAUGACGGUACCGGAAGAAUAAGCACCGGCUAACUACGUG
rnacentral:rRNA from 1 species